AGAGUUUGAUCCUGGCUCAGAACGAACGCUGGCGGCAUGCCUAACACAUGCAAGUCGAACGAAGGCCCGGAGCUUGCUCCGGUCACCUUAGUGGCGAACGGGUGAGUAACGCGUGGGAACCUACCCAGGAGCGGGGAAUAACCACUGGAAACGGUGGCUAAUACCGCAUACGCCCUGAGGGGGAAAGGCUUCGGCCACUCUUGGAUGGUCCCGCGUCUGAUUAGCUUGUUGGCGGGGUAACGGCCCACCAAGGCGACGAUCGGUAGCUGGUCUGAGAGGAUGAUCAGCCACACUGGGACUGAGACACGGCCCAGGCUCCUACGGGAGGCAGCAGUGGGGAAUAUUGGACAAUGGGCGCAAGCCUGAUCCAGCAAUGCCGCGUGAGUGAAGAAGGCCUUUGGGUUGUAAAGCUCUUUCGUCGGGGAAGAAAAUGACUGUACCCGAAUAUGAAGGUCCGGCUAACUUGGUGCCAGCAGCCGCGGGAAUACGAAGGGACCUAGCGUAGUUCGGAAUUACUGGGCUUAAAGAGCACGUAGGUGGUUAAGAAAGUUGGUGGUGAAAUCCCAAGGCUUAACCUUGGAACUGCCACCAAAACUUUUUAACUAGAGUAUGAUUGAGGUUAGCGGAAUUUCUAGUGUAGAGGUGAAAUUCGUAGAUAUUAGAAAGAACACCAAUUGCGAAGGCAGCUUUCUGGAUCAUUACUGACACUGAGGUGCGAAAGCAUGGGUAGCGAAGAGGAUUAGAUACCCUCGUAGUCCAUGCCGUAAACGAUGUGUGCUAGACGUUGGAAAUUUAUUUUUCAGUGUCGCAGCGAAAGCGUUAAGCACACCGCCUGGGGAGUACGACCGCAAGGUUAAAACUCAAAUGAAUUGACGGGGACCCGCACAAGUAGUGGAGCAUGUGGUUUAAUUCGAAGAUACGCGCAGAACCUUACCAACACUUGACAUGUUCGUCGCGACUCUAAGAGAUUAGAGUCUUCGGUUCGGCCGGACGAAACACAGGUGCUGCAUGGCUGUCGUCAGCUCGUGUCGUGAGAUGUUGGGUUAAGUCCCGCAACGAGCGCAACCCUUACUUUUAGUUGCUACCAUUUAGUUGGGCACUCUAGAAGAACUGCCGGUGAUAAGCUGGAGGAAGGUGGGGAUGACGUCAAGUCCUCAUGGCCCUUAUGUGUUGGGCUACACACGUGCUACAAUGGUAUUUACAGUGGGAUGCAAAGAGGCAACUCCAAGCAAACCCUCAAAAAAUGCCUCAGUUCGGAUUGUACUCUGCAACUCGAGUACAUGAAGCUGGAAUUACUAGUAAUCGCGGAUCAGCGCGCCGCGGUGAAUACGUUCCCGGGUCUUGUACACACCGCCCGUCACACCAUGGAAGUUGGUUACACCUUAAGGCAAAGCGUAAAACCUUUGACUACGGUACGAUCAGCGACUGGGGUGAAGUCGUAACAAGGUAGCC
rnacentral:rRNA from 1 species